UAAGGAAUAUUGGUCAAUGGACGCAAGUCUGAACCAGCCAUGCCGCGUGAAGGAUGAAGGUCCUCUGGAUUGUAAACUUCUUUUAUAGGGGAAGAAACCAGGGAAUUCUUUUCCGGUUGCCGGUACCCUAGGAAUAAGCACCGGCUAACUCCGUGCCCGCAGCCGCGGUAAUACGGAGGGUGCAAGCGUUAUCCGGAUUCACUGGGUUUAAAGGGUGCGUAGGAGGGCAGGUAAGUCAGUGGUGAAAUCUCCGAGCUUAACUUGGAAACUGCCGUUGAUACUAUCUGUCUUGAAUACCGUGGAGGUGAGCGGAAUAUGUCAUGUAGCGGUGAAAUGCUGAGAUAUGACAUAGAACACCAAUUGCGAAGGCAGCUCACUACACGAAUAUUGACUCUGAGGCACGAAAGCGUGGGGAUCAAAC
rnacentral:rRNA from 1 species